rnacentral:rRNA from 1 species
AUUGAACGCUGGCGGCAUGCCUUACACAUGCAAGUCGAACGGCAGCGGACCUUCGGGUGCCGGCGAGUGGCGAACGGGUGAGUAAUGCAUCGGAACGUACCUUUCAGUGGGGGAUAACGUAGCGAAAGUUACGCUAAUACCGCAUAUUCUGUGAGCAGGAAAGCAGGGGAUCGCAAGACCUUGCGCUGAUUGAGCGGCCGAUGUCAGAUUAGCUAGUUGGUGAGGUAAAGGCUCACCAAGGCGACGAUCUGUAGCGGGUCUGAGAGGAUGAUCCGCCACACUGGAACUGAGACACGGUCCAGACUCCUACGGGAGGCAGCAGUGGGGAAUUUUGGACAAUGGGGGCAACCCUGAUCCAGCCAUGCCGCGUGAGUGAAGAAGGCCUUCGGGUUGUAAAGCUCUUUCGGCCGGGAAGAAAUCGCACGGGCUAAUACCCUGUGUGGAUGACGGUACCGGUAUAAGAAGCACCGGCUAACUACGUGCCAGCCGCCGCAGUAAUAC